rnacentral:sRNA from 1 species
AGCAACAUUCUGGACAUAAACAGAACACCUACUUCUGAACUUGAUGCACAGACAAUUAGAACAUUAACUCUCAUCUCAAAAACUAUACAAACUUUGGGAAGCUGGGGGAGUCUGUCCAAAAGCAAGUCAAGUUUCAAAGAGACAUUCAUGUGUGAAUUUUUCAAAAUGUUUCAAGAAGAAGGAUAUAUUAUAGCAGUUAAAAAGUUCUUGGAUGAAAUUUCAUCUACUGAAACUAAAGAGUCCAGUGGUACGAGUGAGCCUGUGCACCUGAAAGAAGGUGAGAUGUAUAAAAGAGCUCAAGGAAGAACUCGGAUUGGAAAAAAGAAUUUUAAGAAACGAUGGUUCUGCUUAACAAGCAGAGAGCUCACCUACCACAAACAGCCAGGCAAAGACGCAAUCUACACAAUUCCAGUAAAAAACAUUCUUGCUGUGGAAAAACUGGAAGAGAGCUCUUUCAACAAGAAAAAUAUGUUCCAAGUAAUACAUACGGAGAAACCACUCUAUGUCCAGGCAAAUAACUGUGUAGAAGCUAAUGAAUGGAUAGACGUACUCUGCAGGGUGAGCCGAUGCAAUCAAAACAGGCUCAGUUUUUAUCAUCCCUCUGUGUAUCUAAAUGGAAAUUGGCUCUGCUGUCAGGAGACCGGUGAAAACACUCUCGGCUGCAAGCCAUGUACUGCAGGUGUCCCUGCAGACAUCCAAAUAGAUAUUGAUGAAGACAGAGAAACAGAAAGAAUUUAUUCCCUUUUUACCCUCAGUUUACUUAAGCUGCAGAAGAUGGAAGAGGCUUGUGGAACUAUUGCAGUCUAUCAAGGACCACAGAAAGAGCCUGAUGAUUAUUCUAACUUUGUAAUCGAGGAUUCUGUAACAACCUUUAAGACA